rnacentral:lncRNA from 1 species
CCUCCACCCUUGGUGAUGUAAUAAAUAGCCACAGUAGAGUCUUGAAUUCUGGAGCUUGAGAGGCAUUAUGGAACUUAUUGAAGCUUAGCUCGAUCAUACAUAGAACUAAAAUUUAUAGCUCAAGUCUUGAUCGCAUUCCUUGCCCAUAUGAUCCUGGACUAGUUAGAACUUUGAAGUUAUGCAAUAGAGCAAUUACAUUUCUUCUUGCUUUUCAUUAACUACUCUCUCUUCCAACAAUCAUUAUAAUCUCAAACAUCA